GUAGUUUGCACGCGUCCCUUGUUACCGUGGUAAUGCUGCUUGGGCUUCGCCAAAGGAGCGGAAGUAGAAGUUUCCCGCCAAUGUGGGUAGCAUAACGUCUAUAGAGAAGGAGGAGGAGAGUUGGUUUGUUCUGUCUCUUAACUCCGAAAUGGCGGACAUAUUCGAAGGGCCCCGGGUUCGUGUUGCUGCAAGUCAGCUGGCGCAAUAUGUUGGAAAAUCCGUGUGUUUCGUGGGACGUCUAGAAAAGAUCCAUCCAUCAGGAAAAUUCUUCUUCCUAGCAGAUGGAGAGGGAAAAACUGCAACUGUUGAGCUAAACACACCACUUGAAGAAGAGAUCUCUGGAGUCAUUGAAGUAGUAGGAAGAGUAACAAAUCAGCUAAACAUAGUCUGUGGAUCAUAUACCCAAUUCAGAGAAGAUAAAAGUGUGUUUGAUCUUGUGAUGUAUAAUGAAGCUCUAAAAGUUAUUCAUGACUUUCCUGAGUAUUACCCUUUUGGUAUUAAUGCAUGACUGACAUUCUUCUUGACAACUUCAAAGUGGACAAUUCUGUUAAGGAACACAUCAGGAAAAAUGUUUACAGUCACUUUAGACAGUCUGGUAUGCUUAUGAUCUGGUACAGAAACUUUUGCAUUGUGUUAUCCUUCCUGUUGGACUUAAGUUAUGGUGCAAUCUUGAUGGAGAAAAAUUUGUCCCCGGUGAAAGACAAGAUUGCCCAGCCUAUUGCCACUCAAGUCACCACCUUUGGACUGCCUCAUGCUAAAAUCAGAGCACAGCACUAUCAGUAGAGCCCUUCCUGGACUGAUGCAGCACCAGCCAGCCAACCAAUCUAUGUAGGAAGGUUGUGGAACAGUGACCUUAAACCGCAAGUCAAGUCAAAAUUUAUUCUUUAAUCCCAAAGGGGGGAGCAGUUGUAUUAACCAAAAUAAAAUAAGUUAAAACCUUUCAGUCUCUAGAAAUACACAUCUGCUCAAAUGUUUGAGAACUGACACUAGAGGUCAGAGCUAAUGUCUUUACAGUUGAGUUACUAACCUUCAAGUGCUGGGCUAGAUGCUGGAUGUUCAUACAAUGCUUCACAGUGUACAGAAUGUACUGACAGAGCAGUUCUACAUACUUAAAAGGCAUAUACAUGCAAAACUGCAUCAUUUGAAGCAGAUUAGUACAAGAUUAAGAUAAUAAAAUACAGCUCCUUUUAUUUUACAAAAUAUACUGUUUUUAGACACCCAGGUUAUACAUUAAUCAUUCCUAUUUACAUCAUAGCCUUUUAAUUAUGAAAAGCAACUGUUAAUCUUUGUCAAUCUUACAAAAAUACAGUAGCUUUAAUAUUUUGUACAUUUCAAUAUAUAGAUCAAACAAUAAAAAUUCAAUUCUGACUGGAUGUGGCCUUUGACAAAGUUAAUUAUAGUAAAAGGUAAUGUAACUGCAUACACAAAAAUAAAUAUUAUUUUUCCCUAUACAAAUCUUGUCUUUCUAGAAAUAACAUGCCUUGGAUCCACAGUGCCCAGUGUCCAAGUAACUUCCAUAUGUGCAUGCACACACCUGGAGCUAGCCCAUUCCUGCCACUCCCUGCUGCAGGCCCUGCACCACAUUGUCAUUCUGAAAUGUUUCAUAAGCAGCUUUUCAGGAAGCACAAGGGACUACAAUGGGAAAAGAGGCAAGAAAGCCAAGGUGCAUGCACUGAUUAUUGCACACGGUUCUUUGGCUCCAAGCCCCCUAUAAUUAAAACAAAAAUAUAAGAUUGUCUGUUAGGCAACUGUAAUGUAUCCCAAAAGUUUUCCUAUUUGGGAGAAAUCUUGCACUUGAGAGUUUGGUAGAAGCAGCCACUACUAUAAUGAUGGCAGUUGACACCCCAUGCUACCUAGAUGUUGUAAACAGCUUUUACUGUGUCUGUUUUUCAUUGUACGUUUCACGUUUUCUGAUGCAAAUGAAUAACUCGCAGCAAAACUUGGAUUAUGUAAUUCAUACUAAUAUUGUAGGAAUACAGGUAUGCCUUGUUUUCAGUGAUUGCUAUUCCAAGUCAUUGAGGUGGCAUUUGUGUCUCAUCCACUAGUUUAUAAUCAAUUUGAAACUUUUAAACCGUAGUUAUACUAAUUUUGGGUGCUCAGAGUAUGUCAUUAUGAAUUUGGAACAUUAUUUACUUGUACAAACUAAACAAGAGUUCAGCUCACCUGAAGAUUGUCUUUGGAGUUUAACAGAAUAGCUCUACAAUGUGAGCAAACUAUAGAUGGAAACUUUAAUGGGGUUUGAUAUCUAAACUGGAAAAAGUACAUAGAAACAUUUGGAUGUAUUAUACAGCACAACUCAGAACACUGUUUUUCCAAGAACAGUUCUCAAAAGUUCAUGAAACAAUACACAACACUGGUUCCUGUAGCUUGGAAGCCUUAAGAUCUGGGCAGUGUAGUACUGCAAGUCUUUGACAGGUGCUUUGCAUUUCAGUAAGUUUGUAUAAAUGUCUUUGAAAUAAAAUGCUUCACAACUGAA